UGAAAGAACAAGAUUGCUACUCCAAUGACUCUACUCGACUCUAUCGCAUUAAAAUAAUGAUUCAGCAAGGGCAGAAGUGGAUGUCAAUUUUUGACUGGUGACUAAAAAAUGUGGACAGUGGCCUUUAAACUUUACUCUCUUUUCUUUGGAUCUUUUAUCAAGUUGCAGAGCUCACAGGAAGUUGUGGCCACCAAAGUCUCCUCCUCCUCCUCCUCCUCUUUACCCAAGUCGUAUUCCCCUGCCUCUCUGUGUUGUUUCGAGUCCUUUGGAAGGUUAGCAUUUGAUAGAGGAGAACUCAGAAGCAAUGGGGGUCCGCAGGCUGGUCCCACUUACAUUGGUUCUAUCCUAUUACAAGGCUGGCAAGUGAAACCGGAGGUCAAGGACUUCAUGCUGCACAUGAACAAUGGUUGACCUAUGCUUUAUGGUAUUGUUACAAGUCUUGAAGGUCGGACAAUUCAUUAUUUGCAAAGAAUUUUCAAGCACCAAGCAGAAAAUAUUAUUCCGCAAAGCCUUCAUAACAUGGUGGUGCCAAGAUGUGCAAGCGAUGCUGUUCGACAAGCACCGAUCUGAAAAUUUCUAGCAAUCUUUGCCUGUUUGAAUCCCUCCAAAGAUUUGAUGCUCAGCUUAUACCACGGAAAUCUUGUUGCAACACACACCAAAGAAUUCCCUGGUUUGACUACGGAGCUUGUUCUUCAUGAACCUCAUUCUCAUUUCUAUCUUAUGGUGCUGGCUAUGCGUUUGCAUAUUUAGAUGGCGAAUGAUGACACUCCAUAUUUGUGGUACCACAUGGCAUUGUUGCUUGCUUGGAUGCUGUCCAAGUAAAGGUCUGUUCAUUGAAAGAAAGACCUUGUUUCUACCAAAUGCUGGUGCUGAUGACACUGGAACUAUUAUCUACAAAAAUUUCUCUUGUUGCAUUGGGAAUUCCCAUUGCUUGAAUAAAUCGAUAGAAUGAUUCAAAUUAACUAUCAAAUGCAUUCUACAUUCCUAGCACAGACAAGAAGUGAGAUUAAGUAUCAACGUUUCCAUUAAUGAUGUUGAUGUUGAGGCUUUUGAUGUGGGGAAUCUCCAAAUCUGUGAAGUUAGAGAAUGGAGGGGACCGUUUUGUUUCCCCCACAACAUUGAAGAUGACUUCCAACUGCAUCCCAAUGUGCGUAACCUCGAAGCCCAGCGACGACCAUCUCGAGAUUACGGCUCUUGAAGCAUGACGGCGACAGCAUCGACGGGGAAAACUACUAGUAAAGCAUUUAUUGCAGCAUGAAUGAAGAAUCCUUCAGAAAAG